AUGUUUUCAAAUAUUUUCUUUUUAAAUGUAUUUUGUUAUUGAUUAUUUUAUUUAUUUAUUUAUUUAUUUAUAACCUCCCAUCAUAACUUUAGCUCAACAUGAGUAAAUCAGUGCUAACAAAUAAGCUAAUGUAAUUAUUAUUUUUAAAAGCCGUAAAGAAAUUUUGAUAUUUGUUGGCUUAUGUACUUUUUUUUUUUUUUUUUUUUUUGCAGUGUUUGGUUUCUGGUAAGGGCUCUCUUCCUGGCUUGCAGACUACCACUGUGUCCACCCAUAGCCCUACGCCUGUGUGUGCAUCAGAGUGAGAAAGAAAUAAGAAAAUCAAAAGAAAAAAGGAUCAGAAGCCAAAAUGAUGAUGUUUCAUCAACAGGACUAUCUAUCACACCUAAAGGUAAAUUGAAAUAACCCACUGAUAUAAAAAAAUAUGUGUGUGUGUGAGUAUGUGUGUGUAUGUGUGUGGGGGGGUGGAGGAGGAGGGGGUGUGUUUACAAAUAAGUUAUCUCCUCUUUGACACAAAUUGGCUCUUCUAGCCAAACCAGUAAAAAUGUCAAGGCCAGAAAAUCAGUGUCAACUUGUUGACUGGCAUCAAUGUUUGAAGUGUGACACGAAAACAAGAAACUCUGUGAUGGUUUCAUGGCAUUUAUUAAUAAAGAUGGCUUUUGAUUAAGGCACAUUCUCCACAGACAUAGCUAACCUAGAGCAAAACCUGGAGGUAAGCAAACUGUCUCACUUGAGUCCUUCAGUGCCUGUUCAGAAACUCUCCUGCCUUCACUCCUUCCUAUGGAGAUCUUAUAUUCUCCCCAAAAGCCCAGGCGUUCUGCUACCUGACCUUUCUUUCUUUCUAGGAGGACAAGCCUCCCAGGUCUGCAGAUCUGAAAGGAAUUCCUAAAUCAUUCAAAUGCCUAAGAGGCAUUUGUAGAAAUGUAAAAGGUGUGCCUCCUUAGAUAUUCUGAUUCUUCCCUAAAUCUGGGUUGAGGCCCCAGAGUCUGUAUGCUUAACAAUCACCCCCAGGGGCUUGAGAUGAUCAGCCAAAUUUGGAAACCAGC
rnacentral:lncRNA from 1 species